rnacentral:lncRNA from 1 species
CUGAAGCUCCCACGCCUGCCUGUGAAAAUGGAGUCCUCUCUCACCUGGGAGAGCCAGGUGCUGCCCCGAGAAGGAUGCAUUUAUGGCUUCAUGAAGUCUUUCCUGACCCCCGAUGCUGCUGACUAUAGAGACAAAGUCUCACUAUGUUGCUCAGGCUGGUCUUGAACUCCUGGCCUCAAGCGAUCCUCCCACCUUAGCCUCCCAAAGAGUUGGGAUUAUAGACAUGAGCCACUGCACCUGGCCGACCUUGGGCAAGUUCUUAAACCCUUCAAAGCCUCAUUUUUCUCCAAUCAUAAAAGGGAAAGAUGGUAAUAUUUUCCCCUCCAAAUUCUUGUCGGAUGCCCUCACAGAAUUGAGAUUAUGUACGUAAAACACCAGGUGCCUAACCCGGCACAGAGCAGGAGGGCUAAGCGUGACAUCCAGCACGUGGUCAGUGGAAUCCAGUAUUCCUACCCACCUCUCUAGUCUCCCCUCCACCCCUCUCCCUUUCAGAGGCACCAAGCUGCUUGUGGUCUUGUCUAUUCCCACUCCCUGCCUGACUGAACAUUUUCUCCACCUCCUGAUCAUCAGCAGCAGAAACUGGCUGCUCUUCCUCCUGGGUAGACAGCCAGACUGUAUUUCCCAGCUGCCCCUGCAGUGAGAUGUGGCCAUCGGAGCCAGCAUUGGCCAAUGGACUCUGCAUGGGAGUGACGCAUGCUGCCUCCAGGCUUGUCCCUAAAACCUCCCACGUGUCCUCCGCCUGCUCUUCCCACUUCCAAGGAGCACGGCAAUUGUGGAAGACCCAGAUUAGUGAUGGCAGAACCAUAGAUGGGAGGAACCUG